rnacentral:lncRNA from 1 species
GGGGGGGCUCAGGGUAAAGACCCUCCAGGGAAGGUGUCCUGCUUCUGGCUACUAUCCCGUGUCUGGUCAUGGGAACCUUACCCUGUGAGGAAACAUCCACAGAGAAUGAGUCUAGGCACCCACCUGUGCACCUGAGCUCCUCCAGCCAAGGGAGGAGCCAGAAGCAGCCACAGCAAGAUAUUGCUGGAUCCCAGCUUUGUUCCUCCGCUGCCCAGGAGUCUCAGGCACAGCUCAGCUGGCAGGAAAGGCCGACUCCUUCCCUGCUUCCCGCUCUGCCUCUGCCAGGCUCUGGGUAUCAAGCUUUUCCUGGAGUCAUUUUUAUGCCCACUCGCUUCCUGUGCAUAAUUCUGUGCCAUGGUACAGGUCUGUGUGUAAUGAAAGCUAUGCUGGAACUUGUGCAGAAAGCAGGCUGAGGACCCUCCCAUGGGCCUCUUCCCACUCACCACCGGAUGGCCAACAGUUGAACACCAG